rnacentral:miRNA from 1 species
UAAGAAGGUGCGCUGUCUUGA